AUCCAGCCGAUGAGUCCCAAAUGGGACGAAACGCGCGUCGUGGAU
rfam:Schistosoma haematobium scaffold134_21, whole genome shotgun sequence.